rnacentral:rRNA from 1 species
CUACGGGUGGCAGCAGUGGGGAAUCUUGCACAAUGGGGGAAACCCUGAUGCAGCGACGCCGCGUGGAGGAUGAAGGCCUUCGGGUUGUAAACUUCUUUUGUAGGGGAAAAUGAUGAUGGUACCCUAUGAAUAAGCCACGGCUAACUCUGUGCCAGCAGCCGCGGUAAGACAGAGGUGGCGAGCGUUGUUCGGAAUUACUGGGCUUAAAGGGCGCGUAGGCGGUGAUACAAGUCUGGGGUGGAAUUUCACGGCUUAACCGUGGGACUGCCCUGGAAACUGUAUUACUUGAGUCGGUGAGGGGAAGGCGGAAUUCCUGGUGUAGCAGUGAAAUGCGUAGAUAUCAGGAGGAAGGCCUGUGGUGAAGACGGCCUUCUGGCACUUGACUGACGCUGAGGCGCGAAAGCGUGGGGAGCAAACAGGAUUAGAUACCCGGGUAGUC